rnacentral:rRNA from 1 species
UAAGACGAACCGUGCGAACGUUGUUCGGAAUCACUGGGCUUAAAGGGCGCGUAGGCGGGUGGCCAAGUCUGAAGUGAAAUCCUCCAGCUUAACUGGAGAACAGCUUUGGAUACUGGUCGUCUCGAGUGGGGUAGGGGCGUGUGGAACUGUAGGUGGAGCGGUGAAAUGCGUUGAUAUCUACAGGAACUCCGGUGGCGAAAGCGACACGCUGGACCCUUACUGACGCUGAGGCGCGAAAGCCAGGGGAGCAAACGGGAUUAGAUACCCCGGUAGUCCUGGCCCUAAACGUUGAGAACUAGGUAGUGGACUUGACAUGGGUUCACUGCCGAAGCAAAAGUGCUAAGUUCUCCGCCUGGGGAGUAUGGUCGCAAGGCUG